rnacentral:rRNA from 1 species
GACGAACGCUGGCGGCGUGCCUAACACAUGCAAGUGGAGCGACGAACCGGACUUCGGUCCGGGGCAAAGCCGCGAACGGGUGAGUAACACGUGGGUAACCUGCCCUGAUGAUUGGGACAACCCGAGGAAACUCGGGCUAAUACCGAAUGUGUCCAUCGGCCUCAAGGCCUUUGGGGAAAGGAAGCUUCGGCCUCCGCAUCGGGAUGGGCCCGCGGCCCAUUAGCUUGUUGGUGGGGUAAUGGCCCACCAAGGCGACGAUGGGUAGCUGGUCUGAGAGGACGAUCAGCCACACUGGGACUGAGACACGGCCCAGACUCCUACGGGAGGCAGCAGUGGGGAAUCUUGCGCAAUGCGCGAAAGCGUGACGCAGCGACGCCGCGUGGGGAAGACGGCCU